rnacentral:lncRNA from 1 species
GUUUGUCUAGAAGUGCUUAUUGUGUUUGUAAUACCGUCAGUUCCACUUAAGGGCUACUUGAAGUCAAUGCAAUACAGUUACGUGACCAUUUAAACAGUGAAAUUACAGCAAUAUGUAAUGAAUAUUCAAAGCGAGGAAGAAAAGAUAGAUUAAUACACAAUACUUCUGUGAAACAGAAUGUAUCACACACUGAAAUAAAGAUGAUCUCCAUGCCAAGGUUUUCAUUCCCAAACUUUGAGUUAUUUGUGCACAAGCAAAGUAUUUUAAAUAGUCUUCAGGCAUGAAAAGUACUUGCAAUUUCCCAGCCAAAGAUAACUCAAAC